rnacentral:rRNA from 18 species
CCCAGACAGCCAGGAUGUUGGCUUAGAAGCAGCCAUCAUUUAAAGAAAGCGUAAUAGCUCACUGGUCGAGUCGGCCUGCGCGGAAGAUGUAACGGGGCUAAACCAUGCACCGAAGCUGCGGCAGCGAACGUAUCACUUAAAGCGAUUCAGCGGGUUACGAUUGACGGAGCGAAGCGACGUCAAAGCGUAUACAAAGUCGAGUCGGUUUAAGGAUACGUUCGUUGGGUAGGGGAGCGUUCUGUAAGCCUGUGAAGGUGGCCUGUGAGGGUUGCUGGAGGUAUCAGAAGUGCGAAUGCUGACAUAAGUAACGAUAAAGCGGGUGAAAAGCCCGCUCGCCGGAAGACCAA